rnacentral:rRNA from 1 species
UCUGGUAAUGAUGGCAGAGAGGUCACACCCGUUCCCAUACCGAACACGGAAGUUAAGCUCUCUACGAGCGAUAUAAUGUCUAUAUCUUCUUUAAGUUCUUGUUUCUCUAU